UACGAAGGGGGCUAGUGUUGCUCGGAAUCACUGGGCGUAAAGGGUGCGUAGGCGGGUCUUUAAGUCAGGGGUGAAAUCCUGGAGCUCAACUCCAGAACUGCCUUUGAUACUGAGGAUCUUGAGUUCGGGAGAGGUGAGUGGAACUGCGAGUGUAGAGGUGAAAUUCGUAGAUAUUAGGAAGAACACCAGUGGCGAAGGCGGCUCACUGGCCCGGAACUGACGCUGAUGUGCGAAAGCGUGGGGAGCAAACAGG
rnacentral:rRNA from 1 species